GUCAGCAUGGUGUAGUGGUUCCACGUUGGAUUAUGACACCGGAGACCAGGGUUCAAAUCCUGGCUUGACC